CAAUGUGCAGGCUCAAGGUGCUCUUUUCAUCUCCUGCUGCCCUCAAAAUAGAUCUCAAAAGCUGUUUAGGACUUUUCUUCCUUCUGCAUCUGAAAUUUACUGCGGUGAUCCAUUUAAUGGAGUCCUGAUUUAAAAAUAUAUAUAUCUUUUUGGUAGCAAUGUUUUACUUUGGGUUUCAUGUGCUCUAAAAUAUCUUUUCAGGGUAACAACUCUGUGGACCGGCAACCUCAGAAUUUCAGAGCACUGUUUCUAAAUAGUCUAAUGAUAGGCGAGUGUCUGUGAUCAUGUCAAAUUGCUGGGCCUGAUGAUUUCCACUUCUAUUCUAGAGGAUUUUCUUUCUAAGAUGCAAGUUAGGCAGAACUACUUUUGCUUCGGAGGUGCUGCCUGCUGUCCGCUGCCUGACUCUGCCUUCGCCGUGUCCUUGUGUCACCUUGUAGUUGAGCUGUGGCUGCUGCGGCGGUAUUUACACACAGAAACCCACAGCAGGACCAGUCCCGCCCCUGCUCCGCAGCCGGCUGGAUGUUAAGCAUUUACCAGCGCACCACUGACGCCAGCUGCAAUUUUCUCAAGAGCACGGAGGAAACAGCAAAGCGUAGCCCGCAGGAUUUCUCUGAGGAUUGAAUGAGACCGUGCAGGGGCAGAGGGCCCGGUGUGCUCUCCGUGUGCAUUGAGGAAGUGUUCUGCCCUUUCACUACGGACCAUGGCUUGGUGAAGGCAGAAUUAUGUUCAGUAGCCUCACUCCACCCAUUUCCCCAGUCUCAUUAGGAGAAAAAUAUCAGCCCCCCCUAAAUAUUUGCUGAAUUGAAUAAGUGAUUGAAUUUAGAGUUAUUCCUAGUACCAAUGAAGAAAAUGUGAUUUUUAAAAUUUAUUUAUUUAUUAUUUAUUUAAUCAAUACUAGGGCUUGAACUCAGGGCUUUCAUCUCCGGCUGUUUCAUUUAUUUAUUUUUAUUCUGAUGCAGGAUCUCACUAAAGUUGCUAAAUUGCUUAGACCGCACUCAGACUUGCAGUCCUCCUGUAUCAGCCUCCCAGAGCACUGGGAUUUCAAGAAAAUAUUAUUAUCCUAACAGCUGGCUCCAGAAUUACUUUAGUAAAAGAAACAACUUAAAAAACCACUAGGGCAGAAGGUGAGACCUAAGAGCACGGCAAGAGUCGUUUUUUUUUUGUUUGUUUGUUUGUUUGUUUUUUUUCUUUUUCUUUUUUCCAGUACAGGGGAUCGAACUCAGGAUUGCCUCCUUGCAAGGCAGGUGCUUAUGCUGCUGAGCUAAAUCUACAGCAAAAGGGCGAUCAUCAGAAGGAGACCGCUAAACUUCUCUGAAAGAGAAAAUGAGAAUCUGACCUUUUGUUUCUGAUAUAGAAAAGGAUAACAGGAAGAAGUGGAAGGUAGAAAGGGCUCUGCAGAAAUAGAAGCUAAUAAAAUAGACUGUGGUGAGAGACCUGGGAUAAGUGUGGGAUUGGGGAGGAUGAAGGUGACAGUUCACAUAAAACAUUCCAGGAAGGUGGGUGGGAGCCUCAGCCUGGAUUGCAUUUGUUGUAAGGUACCAGAGGCAACUGCUUAUUUAUUUUUAAAAAAUUUUUGUUUAAUUCGAUUUUUUAUUAGUACAUGUUUGGGGGAAUUUUUCUUGGGCAGGGGAUAUCAGAAAUUGAACUCAGGACCUCACGCUUGUCAGGAAUGCGCUGUGCCACUGAGCUAAAUCCCUAGUCUACAAUUGUUUAUUAUAACACAAAAUACUCCAGUGAAGUUCCUGGUCUCCUAGAGAUCUGAACAUGUGUUUGUUUGAGAAUAGGAUGAAUUCAAAAGACUCUGGGGGGCGCCCUGUUUGGGCCUAGGCUGCCAGUCAGCAAACAGAGGGACAGCUACAAGAUGCACUACAAGGUAAAAAAAAUGUGGCAGAGGCAGGACACACAGAAAAGAUCACUAUGGGCUGGGGAUAUAGCUCAGCUGCGUAAGUGUCUGCCUGCAUAGUACAAGACUGUGAGCUUGAUUCCCAGUACCAAAAAAAAAAAAAAAAAAAAAAAAAAAAAGACCAGUAUGACAAGAGAAAUUCUUAGGACUAUGGAGAAAAUUGAGAAACAUUUUGGACUUCCAUGGUCUAUAGCAAGGAUGGUGAGCAUUUCAGAGACGCAGUGCCCAAACUACAACCGUAAACACCCUUAUUUAUUGCAACUGGCUAAACACUGCAGUUAACCUGAAGCUGAGGUUUUGGUUUAGAAAGAAACAGCUGCUAUCCAAUGCUCAGCUGCUGGGAUGACUUGGCUCCUGUGCUGACAGAGAGCUCUGUGUGCCUGCUGUGGCGCAUGAGCCUAGGUUCACCACCAGUGCUCUAUAAAUCGGAUCUCUAAAUCAAUUUCUCUAAAUUUUAAGGAGCCACGGGAUACUUAACUAAUAGGUUGCACUCAAUUACUUUGAAAUUUUUAGAGCUAUGUGACUUUCCAUUGAUCGACCAGUAAACAUUCAUAAAUUUUAGCUUAUUUUAUACUUCAGAGUUUUAGACUUGGAGAAAAUUUUUUCUGAACUCCGAUGUGGAUUACAAAUGCUCUCAAUAAACCUCUAAAAACUAGGGCCAAUAUAGAGUCAAAUUACCUUGUUCUCUUAUGAAAUGAGUUUUGAUGCCUAUUAAAAAUUGUACUCUUCAAAAAAAGAGCAGAAAAAGGGACAGAUAGUGCAAUAGAUUGACCAAUGGUCCAGCUGAACUGAACAGCAUUAUGCCCAGCUGAACUGAAUCAGCGUGGCCCUGGGUGUGGAAGGCCAGCACAUAGAUGCAGCCUCAAAGCAGAACUGGGGGGAAAGAUGGUACUGGUGAUUCUCCUGGAGAAGCUUGUCGAGCUGGAUUUCCUGAUAUGAACUUGGCUGUUCUCAUUGUUAGAUGAGCUCAGGACCUCUCUGUCACUGAGGAUGACUCUCUCCCAGGGAGCUCUGGUCCUUACCUUGAGCGUUGCUUCCUGGUUCCAGUGCAGAUUUCUCAGUCUGCUGUGCAGAUCCUUCACUCUGCUGGUGCAGACUUUCUAGUUUCCACUGCUGACCUUAGAGCCUUCCCAGUACAGAUCCUUGAUACAGACUUGCAUAAGACAUCGGCAUGGGCUCUAGGUCUUCAGCUGGACUCGUGCAGGACAUUGCCAUGAGAUCUAGGCCCUCAGCUGGAUUCUUUGGGCCUUUAGUGUGUGCCUUUAGUGUGUGGACAGAUAUCCUGCACUCUUUUGCAUUUGAUGCUUUGGAUGAAUAUUAUAAAAUAUAUAAAUUAUAUGUCCUGUAUUAAAUACAUUCCCUGUAAACCCUGACUACAACAGAUAGUAGCUUUUCAAUGGAGAAGUCUGGCAAAUACUACAUUGACCAGGCAAAGGACACCACAUUACUGAGAUGUCUAUGGAUAGCGUGUUCUCUUAGAUAUGAUGUGCUGAAAAAGGCAACCUCUGGAGUUCUCUCAAGAUAUCCAUUGCCAGGGCCAGGGGCUUAGCUCAGUGGCACAAGCGCUUGCCUGGCAAGUGCGAGGUCAUUAAUUCGAUCCCCAGUAGCAAAAACAAAACAAAACGUAACAAAACCCCCCACCCAUUUCCCCAAUCUCAUUAGGAGAAAAAUAUCAGUCCCCCGCAAAUUGGGGCUCUAUCUGAUGAGUAUGACUUGAAACUGUAAAGUUUAUGAAAACAAGGAAAGACCAGGGGAAUAUCAUGGAAGAGAAAAGCUGGGAAGAGACACGACAGCUAAAUAACAGUGUGGUACCCUGAAUUGAAUCCUGUGACAGAAGGUGAACAUCAGAAGAAGAACUGGUAAAAUCUAGACAGUCUGGAGCUUAGUUAGUAAUAUACCUGUGCUGAUAUCUGCUUCACGAUGGUCUCACAGUGAUAAUCUUAACGCUGAGAUGAAGUUGGGUAAAGAAGACUUGUAUGAUCUUUAUAACUUUGCUAUGAAUCUGAAAUUAUUUCAAAAUAAAAAAAUUUAGGGCUGGCAAUGUACCUCAGACACAGGGUCCUUGCCUCACAUGCACAAAUCCCUGGUUCAGUUCCAUCCUCCCUUUUUAAAUUUGAGUUGCAGCCAGGAAUGGUGGAGCAGGCCUGCAAUCCCAGCACUCCUGGAGGCUGAGACAGGAGGAUUGAAAGUCUGAGCCCAGCCCAGGCAAUUUUUUAAGACAAUUUUGCUGCAAAACAAUUUUUUUUUAAAGGCUGGGAAUGUAGUUCAGUAGGAAGGCUUUGAGUUCAAUCCCCAUACCAAUUUUUUUAAAUAAAAAACAAAUAAACAAAAAAACUCAUUACCUGGCCUUUGGUAUGGCCUAGAGAGCCCACAAACCCUUAGGUCCCUGGGUUUUCUAUGUAAGGAAAUAUAAUGAUUUGAUUUAUUUAUGCCACUUGGCAGAAUAUGUUUCAAGAAAUCUUCAUUAAGCAUGUGAUGGAGAAUCCCUGUUGGCAAAGAAACAAUAUCUUCUUUCCUACAUUCUGUUAGCCUGCAGAAGAGAUGCAGGACCUGGUGUGGUGGCACAGUCCUAUAAUUCCAGCUACUAGGGAGGCUGAGACAGGAUGAUCCUACCCAAGGCUAUUCAAGGCAACUUAGGGAGACCAUGUCUCAAAAUUUGGUUUUUGGAGACCGGAUCUUGCUCUGUAGUACAGAAGGGCCUUGAAUUCACCAUGUAGCCAGGCUGGCCUUGAACAUGCAGUGAUACUCUUGUCUCAGUCUCAGUGUACUGUGUUUACAGGUGUGCACCACCACACCUGGCUCCAAAACAAAAAUAUUUUAAAAGAGCUAAUAUGGUGAGCAUGGUAGCACAUGCCUGUAAUUCAUUAUGUCACCACAGACUGGCCUCAAACUUGUGGCAGUCUUCCUGGGAUUAUAGACAUGUGCCACCAUGCUAGGCAACUUGAAUCAUUUGUAAGAAAAUAUGUGUACCUUGGAGACCAUAACGCUAAAUAAAAUAAAUCAGACACACAA